CCUACGGGUGGCAGCAGUGGGGAAUAUUGGACAAUGGGGGGAACCCUGAUCCAGCCAUGCCGCGUGUGUGAAGAAGGCCCUCGGGUUGUAAAGCACUUUCAGUGAGGAAGAACGCCUGGUGGUUAAUACCCAUCAGGAAAGACAUCACUCACAGAAGAAGCACCGGCUAACUCCGUGCCAGCAGCCGCGGUAAUACGGAGGGUGCGAGCGUUAAUCGGAAUUACUGGGCGUAAAGCGCGCGUAGGUGGCUUGAUAAGCCGGUUGUGAAAGCCCCGGGCUCAACCUGGGAACGGCAUCCGGAACUGUCAAGCUAGAGUGCAGGAGAGGAAGGUAGAACUCCCGGUGUAGCGGUGAAAUGCGUAGAGAUCGGGAGGAAUACCAGUGGCGAAGGCGGCCUUCUGGACUGACACUGACACUGAGGUGCGAAAGCGUGGGUAGCAAACAGGAUUAGAUACCCUGGUAGUC
rnacentral:rRNA from 1 species